rnacentral:rRNA from 1 species
UUGUAUAAUGGGUCAGCGACUUAUAUUCUGUAGCAAGGUUAACCGAAUAGGGGAGCCGAAGGGAAACCGAGUCUUAACUGGGCGUUAAGUUGCAGGGUAUAGACCCGAAACCCGGUGAUCUAGCCAUGGGCAGGUUGAAGGUUGGGUAACACUAACUGGAGGACCGAACCGACUAAUGUUGAAAAAUUAGCGGAUGACUUGUGGCUGGGGGUGAAAGGCCAAUCAAACCGGGAGAUAGCUGGUUCUCCCCGAAAGCUAUUUAGGUAGCGCCUCGUGAAUUCAUCUCCGGGGGUAGAGCACUGUUUCGGCAAGGGGGUCAUCCCGACUUACCAACCCGAUGCAAACUGCGAAUACCGGAGAAUGUUAUCACGGGAGACACACGGCGGGUGCUAACGUCCGUCGUGAAGAGGGAAACAACCCAGACCGCCAGCUAAGGUCCCAAAGUCAUGGUUAAGUGGGAAACGAUGUGGGAAGGCCCAGACAGCCAGGAUGUUGGCUUAGAAGCAGCCAUCAUUUAAAGAAAGCGUAAUAGCUCACUGGUCGAGUCGGCCUGCGCGGAAGAUGUAACGGGGCUAAACCAUGCACCGAAGCUGCGGCAGCGCCGCUGAUGCGCUGUUGGGUAGGGGAGCGUUCUGUAAGCCUGUGAAGGUGUACUGUGAGGUAUGC